rnacentral:rRNA from 1 species
CCUACGGGGGGCAGCAGUGGGGAAUAUUGCGCAAUGGGCGAAAGCCUGACGCAGCGACGCCGCGUGAGGGAUGAAGGUCUUCGGAUCGUAAACCUCCGUCAGCAGGGAAGAACGGUCACUGUGCUAAUCAGCAGUGAAUUGACGGUACCUGCAAAGGAAGCACCGGCUAACUCCGUGCCAGCAGCCGCGGUAAUACGGAGGGUGCGAGCGUUAAUCGGAAUUACUGGGCGUAAAGCGCUCGUAGGCGGUAUGUCAAGUCAAGGGUGAAAUCCCCGCGCUCAACGUGGGAACUGCCUUUGAAACUGGCAAACUGGAGUGUGUGAGAGGAUAGUGGAAUUCCUGGUGUAGGAGUGAAAUGCGUAGAUAUCUGGAGGAACAUCAGUGGCGAAGGCGACUAUCUGGCACAUAACUGACGCUGAGGAGCGAAAGCGUGGGUAGCAAACAGGAUUAGAUACCCUAGUAGUC